ACGCGGGGUGGAGCAGCUCGGUAGCUCGCUGGGCUCAUAACCCAGAGGUCGCAGGUUCAAAUCCUGUCCCCGCNNN
rnacentral:tRNA from 3 species